AACGAACGCUGGCGGCAUGGAUUAGGCAUGCAAGUCGAACGGUUUAUAAUAUUUGGCAACAAGUAUUGUAAAUAGUGGCGAAAGGGUGAGUAACAUGUGAGUAAUCUACCCUUAAGUUUGGAAUAAUUUUCCGAAAGGGAAACUAAUACCAGAUGUGGUUAAUUUAUCAUAAGAUAAAUUAACUAAAGAUUCAUCGCUUAAGGAGGAGCUCGCUUCCCAUUAUGCUAGUUGGUGAGGUAAUGGCCCACCAAGGCUAUGAAGGGUAGGUGGUCUAAGAGGAUGGUCACCCACACUGGAACUGAGACACUGUCCAG
rnacentral:rRNA from 1 species